UUUGAUCCUGGCUCAUGAUGAACGCUGGCGGCGUGCUUAACACAUGGCAAGUCGAACGAAGCAAUUUUCUACGAGUCCCUUCGGGGGUGACGGAUUAUUGGACUUAGUGGCGGACGGGUGAGUAACGCGUGGGUAACCUGCCUUGGUACAGGGGGACAACAGUUGGAAACGACUGCUAAUACCGCAUAAGGCGCACAGUGUCGCAUGACACAGUGUGAAAAGUUUUUCGGUACAAGAUGGACCCGCGUCUGAUUAGCUAGUUGGUGAGGUAGUGGCUCACCAAGGCGACGAUCAGUAGCCGGCCUGAGAGGGUGAACGGCCACAUUGGGACUGAGACACGGCCCAAACUCCUACGGGAGGCAGCAGUGGGGAAUAUUGCACAAUGGGGGAAACCCUGAUGCAGCGACGCCGCGUGAGUGAUGACGUAUUUCGGUAUGUAAAGCUCUAUCAGCAGGGAAGAAAAUGACGGUACCUGACUAAGAAGCCCGGCUAACUACGUGCC
rnacentral:rRNA from 1 species